GCGCACUUAGCUCAGUGGUUAGAGCACCCUUCUAGAAUUUGGGUAAAAUAAGUCAUGGGUUUGAAGCCCAUAGUGCACA
rnacentral:tRNA from 1 species